rfam:Cladophialophora yegresii CBS 114405 aczIN-supercont1.2, whole genome shotgun sequence.
ACAUGAACAACGCAAAACCCAACAUUCCUUCUAAAAGCAUUCCUACGAGGUUGCUCUACAGCAAUACCAUGAUGUAUGGAAAUCGUCUAUCGGAAUGGAGAGUGACCACAUGGUAGUCGAUCUUGGGUGCGAUGUCAGUCAGGUCCCUCCGGGGCUGUGACCGAGAUUGCAAUGAUUGACCACACAA